GACGAACCGUGCGAACGUUGUUCGGAAUCACUGGGCUUAAAGGGCGCGUAGGCGGGCAAGCAAGUCCGGGGUGAAAUCUUUCGGCUCAACCGGAAAAGUGCCUUGGAUACUGCUUGUCUCGAGGGAGGUAGGGGUUGCUGGAACUUCCGGUGGAGCGGUGAAAUGCGUUGAUAUCGGAAGGAACGCCGGUGGCGAAAGCGAGCAACUGGAUCUCUUCUGACGCUGAGGCGCGAAAGCUAGGGGAGCAAACGGG
rnacentral:rRNA from 1 species